ensembl:snRNA U1 U1 spliceosomal RNA
ACACUUACCUGGCAGAGGAGAUGAUCAAAAAGGUGGUUUUGCUGGCAAGAAAUUAAUCCAUUGUACUCUGGGUGUGCUGACCUCUGGGAUUUCUCCAAAUUUGGGGAACUCGACUGCAAAAUUUGUGGUAGUGGGGCCUGGGUUUUUGCUCUCCCCUAA